CUUUAAUUCUCGCUUCAGUAAUUAACAAGGCCUGUUUGUUUUCUUUACUCCUCUCGGGUUUUAGAUCAUUGUUUAAAUAAUUAUAAAAUAUAAAUAGAAUAUUAGCAUCUUGGGUGCAUUUGGUUGUUGAGAAAUCUUUCUCUAGAGAAAAUAUAACUUCACAAUUACUGUUCUUGUUUUAAGUUCCCUAGACUAGAAAAGAACCUCUAAGGAAAUCUCCUUCAACCUUCUUCCAGAGGUAGGACCCACUUCCCCAACCCAUAAUAUCCAUCAAUACCCAGCCUCUAUUUGACAUAAUUUUUAUCUGGCUGUUCUGUUUUUUUUUUAAGGCUGUUUGUUUUGAGAACAUUCAGUCUGAUUUCUCGUAAGUUCCAGUUCUAAGAAAGAUCUUCUUACACAUUGAGACGGCUCAUCUUUUCUGAAACUUGCAACUUUUUCCAUUGCCUGCCCUUUGUGAUUCUGAAUGGUGAUGACUUUCUGGUUCUCUCCUCACCUUUGUCGAACUAAAGGUAAUUUUUUUUCCAAGUAAUAAUAGCAAAUUUCAUAAUCUCCAGAAAUGGAUACUUCCAGCCACCUCCAAAUUCCUCUUCCCAUGGCAUCUCUGGUACUUCAUUAGAACAGUUAUGCAGAAUUUAAAAUACAGUGUGGCAUUUCUCUGGAAGAAUAUAAUCUUCAUGAGGGAAAAGAUAUGUGUUUUCUUCUUGUAUUCUUAGCACCGAAUACAGUACCCAACACAUAAUGAUGGCCUUAGGAGCAUACUUCAGAGGCAUUGAAUGAACGUUCUGUAGAGCUGUCAUUAUUAUUUUCCAUUCAGCGUUUACCAGUAACUUUAUUUUAAAAAUGUCUGCUCUUUAGACAGUCACUUCAUUGUUCAUUAGUACGUGACUUUGGUAAGUAUUUCUCCUGUGAAGAGAAAUAUUAUAACAAACUGUUAUGGCAUUCAACACUGGUAUUUCAGUUACUCAACUAAUCCACCCACUGAUAGAGUGAACUUUGAAUUAAAUGCUUUGAAGAAUAAAGUCAAGUAAAUCUUGAUAAAAAUCAAAGGCUAAGGAAAUCUUGUUUGACAGAAGGCAUGAACAAAAAUGCUAAAAUGAAUACUGUUUGGGGAGAAACACUCAUUCUACGGCAGACUAAAUGAAGAGUAAUAGUUCAAGAGUAUAAAAAUGCCUGUGUGAUCAAAAGGCAGGAAAAGCUUCUUUUUACUGUGUCUUUUAAUAUUCCAGGACUCAUAAUAUCCUGCCUACACGAGCACCUGUCUUUGUGGUAACUCAAAGUAUUUGAACACCUUAUCGCAUCCAACCUCAAAUUUCCUGUGAGUGCCUGAUGCCAUAAUACAUGAUGUCAGUUACCAGAUGAGCCCAACUUUCCACCUCGUGGAGGGAAUAAGAGACCAAGAAGAGAAUGAAGCAGAUGUGCAAAGAGAAGUAGAGAUGAGAGGCGGAAAGAAAAUUAAUUUCCCAGGGUUUCC
rnacentral:lncRNA from 1 species